AUUGAACGCUGGCGGCAUGCCUUACACAUGCAAGUCGAACGGUAACGGGCCUUCGGGUGCCGACGAGUGGCGAACGGGUGAGUAAUGCAUCGGAACGUACCUUUCAGGGGGGGACAACGUAGGGAAAGUUACGCUAAUACCGCAUAUUCUGUGAGCAGGAAAGAAGGGGAUCGCAAGACCUUGCGCUGUUUGAGCGGCCGAUGUCAGACUAGCUAGUUGGUGAGGUAAAGGCUCACCAAGGCGGCGAUCUGUAGCGGGUCUGAGAGGAUGAUCGGCCACACUGGAACUGAGACACGGUCCAGACUCCUACGGGAGGCAGCAGUGGGGAAUUUUGGACAAUGGGGGCAACCCUGAUCCAGCCAUGCUGCGUGAGUGAAGAAGGCCUUCGGGUUGUAAAGCCCUUUCGGCCGGGAAGAAAUCGUAUGGGCUAAUACCCUGUGCGGAUGACGGUACCGGCAUAAGAAGCACCGGCUAACUACGUGCCAGCCGCCGCUGUAACAC
rnacentral:rRNA from 1 species